UGGCAAGUUUUUAAACACUUUAGCAAACCAGAUGAUAACCAAAAGAACGAGUGAGUGUCUUGUACAGUUUUAGACCGGACUAUUAUUUUGACAUGAUAAGGCCAUUGCCAAAAACCGGAUGUCUUAUAGCAUGUUUAGCGGAAGUUUUUACCAACGAUACUUUUACUGCUUUUAGUUUCGAAAGUAGGCUACCAGAGAACGGAGACUAACGUAAUUUUUCUUCCUUUAAUUCUGAGCUGCUUUUCCCUCCCGUUUAUUCCACCAAUUUCUAAAAUGAAGCAGCAGGUCUGGAUAAUUUUCUUUCUAGCAGUUCCACUCUGUUCAUGUAAGUAUAACUUGCUUGUAUUAAGCAUGUACAACUAUAACAGAAUCGACUUCAGUCUCGGCCAGCAAACAAACAGAAUAGCUUAUUUGCAACCUUUUGCCAGGCAAGCCUAUUAAAGACGUGUCGUAGCCUACUUGCGGUAGUUGUGUGACCCGAGCUGAACAUUAUGGAAUGUCUUAUGGUACUCUUAUAUCUCAUAAAUAAUCUUUAUUUCAUUUGACUUCAGCUGUCCAAGUCGAUAAUGCGACUGUCAAUGGAGACGUUACCCUUUCCCCUGUUGGAAUCAGUACUGUCAGAAGCGUGGUGUGGAAAUUUGAGAUUGAUAAGGUUGCUGAAUUUGAUCCAAGCUUCAGCGAAGAGGUAAAGAUAUUUGGUAAUUACCGGGGACGAACAACCUUGGAUAAGGAAACGGGCAGCAUUACAAUAUCAAAGUUGACUCUCGAGGAUAGUGGGACGUUCUCAGUUGAGGUUGACAGUGUGUUGAUGCCGGAUUCGUACCGUCUCGAAGUUCACGGGGAAAGCAAGACUGAUGAUGACAAAGCAGGAAAUGGUUCUGGACUAGGCAGCAACAAAGACACGGACGAUCAAAAUGGUGAAUCGGGAGGAUUGGUGGGCAAAUCAACAGUUUGAGGUAAGCCUUUCUUAACUUUUUCACAAUGAGUUUCCUCUGCUCUUGACCAAUCAAUCAUAGAUGCUCGGGGGAUGUCCCAAAAUUUCCUUAAAAUGGCUUUCCAGUACGAAACGGCACCUUGACGGACAGACUGGAUUUCACCU
rnacentral:lncRNA from 1 species